rnacentral:rRNA from 1 species
GACGAACGAUGGCGGCGUGCUUAACACAUGCAAGUCGAACGAUGAAGCUGGAGCUUGCUCCGGUGGAUUAGUGGCGAACGGGUGAGUAACACGUGAGCAAUCUGCCCUUGACUCUGGGAUAACUGCGGGAAACUGUAGCUAAUACCGGAUACGAGGCUCGAAGGCAUCUUCGGGUCUGGAAAGAAUGUCGGUCAAGGAUGAGCUCGCGGCCUAUCCGCUUGUUGGUGAGGUAAUGGCUCACCAAGGCGACGACGGGUAGCCGGCCUGAGAGGGUGACCGGCCACACUAAGACUGAGACACGGCGCAGAAUCGUACGGGAGGCAGCAGUGGGGAAUAUUGCACAAUGGGCGAAAGCUUGAUGCAGAAACGCCGCGUGAGGGAUGAAGGCCUUCGGGUUGUAAACCUCUUUUAUCAGGGAAGAAGCGAAAGUGACGGUACCUGCAGAAAAAGCACCGGCUAACUACGUGCCAGCCGCCGCCGUAA